rnacentral:rRNA from 1 species
CGCGUAGGUGGUUCAGCAAGUUGGAGGUGAAAUCCCCGGGCUCAACCUGGGAACUGCCUCCAAAACUACUGAGCUAGAGUACGGUAGAGGGUAGUGGAAUUUCCUGUGUAGCGGUGAAAUGCGUAGAUAUAGGAAGGAACACCAGUGGCGAAGGCGACUACCUGGACUGAUACUGACACUGAGGUGCGAAAGCGUGGGGAGCAAACA